CCUACGGGCGGCAGCAGUGAGGAAUAUUGGUCAAUGGGCGCAAGCCUGAACCAGCCAAGCCGCGUGAGGGAUGAAGGCUCUAUGGAUCGUAAACUUCUUUUAUAAGGGAAUAAAGUGCGGGACGUGUCUCGUUUUGUAUGUACCUUACGACUAAGGAUCGGCUAACUCCGUGCCUGCAGCCGCGGUAAUACGGAGGAUUCGAGCGUUAGCCGGAUUUAGUGGGUUUAAAGGGUGGGUAGGCGGACUUUUAAGUCAGCGGUGAAAGCCCGUGGCUCAACCAUAGAAUUGCCUUUGAAACUGGGAGGCUUGAGUGUCUUUGAGGCAGGCGGAAUGCGUGGUGUAGCGGUGAAAUGCUUAGAUAUCAGGCAGAACACCGGUUGCGAAGGCGG
rnacentral:rRNA from 1 species